UACGGAGGAUCCGAGCGUUAUCCGGAUUUAUUGGGUUUAAAGGGUGCGUAGGUGGCUUUGUAAGUCAGUGGUGAAAGUUUUCAGCUUAACUGGAAAAUUGCCAUUGAUACUGCAGGGCUUGAGUUCAGAUGAGGUAGGCGGAAUGUGUCAUGUAGCGGUGAAAUGCAUAGAUAUGACACAGAACACCGAUUGCGAAGGCAGCUUACUAAACUGAAACUGACACUGAGGCACGAAAGCGUGGGGAUCAAACAGG
rnacentral:rRNA from 1 species